GGGGCCGUGGCGCAGCUGGAAGCGCGUCUGACUGGCAGUCAGGAGGUCACGGGUUCGAAUCCCGUCGGCUCCA
rnacentral:tRNA from 2 species